rnacentral:rRNA from 1 species
GACGAACGCUGGCGGCGUGCCUAACACAUGCAAGUCGAGCGAGGAACUUCGGUUCCUAGCGGCGGACGGGUGAGUAACACGUGGGUAACCUGGCUCAUAGAGGGGGAUAGCCUCCCGAAAGGGAGAUUAAUACCGCAUAAGAAGCGAAAGUCGCAUGGCUUUAGCUUUAAAGGAGUAAUCCGCUAUGAGAUGGGCCAGCGGCGCAUUAGCUAGUUGGUGAGGUAACGGCUCACCAAGGCGACGAUGCGUAGCCGACCUGAGAGGGUGAUCGGCCACAUUGGAACUGAGACACGGUCCAGACUCCUACGGGAGGCAGCAGUGGGGAAUAUUGCACUAUGGGCGAAAGCCUGAUGCAGCAACGCCGCGUGAGUGAUGACGGCCUUCGGGUUGUAAAGCUCUGUCUUUGGGGACGAUAAUGACGGUACCCAAGGAGGAAGCCACGGCUAACUACGUGCCAGCCGCCGCCGUAACAC